rnacentral:rRNA from 1 species
ACAUGCAAGUCGAACGAAGCGCCUUUUAAGAUUCUUCGGAUGAUUGAUUGGUGACUGAGUGGCGGACGGGUGAGUAACGCGUGGGUAACCUGCCCUGUACAGGGGGAUAACAGUUGGAAACGGCUGCUAAUACCGCAUAAGCGCACGAGAGGACAUCCUCUUGUGUGAAAAACUCCGGUGGUACAGGAUGGGCCCGCGUCUGAUUAGCUGGUUGGCAGGGUAACGGCCUACCAAGGCGACGAUCAGUAGCCGGUCUGAGAGGAUGAACGGCCACAUUGGAACUGAGACACGGUCCAAACUCCUACGGGAGGCAGCAGUGGGGAAUAUUGCACAAUGGGGGAAACCCUGAUGCAGCAACGCCGCGUGAGUGAAGAAGUAUUUCGGUAUGUAAAGCUCUAUCAGCAGGGAAGAUAAUGACGGUACCUGACUAAGAAGCUCCGGCUAAAUACGUGCCAGCAGCCGCGGUAAUACGUAUGGAGCAAGCGUUAUCCGGAUUUACUGGGUGUAAAGGGUGCGUAGGUGGCAGUGCAAGUCAGAUGUGAAAGGCCGGGGCUCAACCCCGGAGCUGCAUUUGAAACUGCAUAGCUAGAGUACAGGAGAGGCAGGCGGAAUUCCUAGUGUAGCGGUGAAAUGCGUAGAUAUUAGGAGGAACACCAGUGGCGAAGGCGGCCUGCUGGACUGUUACUGACACUGAGGCACGAAAGCGUGGGGAGCAAACAGGAUUAGAUA